UUUAAUAUGGCAGAUUAAAGUGCAUUAGAUCUAAAAUCUAAAUUAUAAAAAUAUAUAAUUUUUUAUUAAAA
rnacentral:tRNA from 1 species